GAUCCUGGCUUAGGAUAAACGCUAGCGGUGUGCAUUAUGCAUGCAAGUCGAACGGUGCUUCGAAAGGAGCGCAGUGGCAAACGGCUGAAUAACACGUAAGCAAUCUGUCCCAAAGUGGGGGAAUAAUUCACCGAAAGGUGGACUAAUACCGCAUGUGGUAGUGGGGUAGGUUCCCAUUACUAAAGCCUUCGGGCGCUUAGGGAGGAGCUUGCGUCCUAUCAGGUAGUUGGUGGGGUAACGGCUCACCAAGCCUACGACGGGUAGCUGGUCUGAGAGGAUGUCCAGCCAGACGGGGACUGAGACACGGCCCCGACUCCUACGGGAGGCAGCAGCAAGGAAUUUUGCGCAAUGGGCGAAAGCCUGACGCAGCAACACCGCGUGAGGGAAGAAGGCCUUCGGGUUGUAAACCUCUUUUGGCAGGGAAGAAGGAAGUGACGGUACCUGCAGAAGAAGUCACGGCUAACUACGUGCCAGCAGCAGC
rnacentral:rRNA from 1 species